AUCCAGCUGAAGAGUCCCAAGUAGGAUGAAGCGCCCGUCCUAUAU
rfam:Schistosoma mansoni strain Puerto Rico chromosome 2, complete genome